rnacentral:rRNA from 1 species
GUCCACGCCCUAAACGAUGUCGACUGGUUGUUGGGGGUUUGACACUCUCAGUAACGAAGCUAACGCGUGAAGUCGACCGCCUGGGGGAGUACGGCCGCAAGGUUAAAACUCAAAGGAAUUGACGGGGACCCGCACAAGCGGUGGAUUAUGUGGAUUAAUUCGAUGCAACGCGAAAAACCUUACCUACCCUUGACAUGUCCGAGAGGCUUGAGAGAUCAGGCUGUGCCCGAAAGGGAAUCGGAACACAGGUGCUGCAUGGCUGUCGU